GCGAUCCUACGGGACGCAGCAGUAGGGAAUCUUCCACAAUGGGCGAAAGCCUGAUGGAGCAACGCCGCGUGGGUGAAGAAGGUCUUCGGAUCGUAAAACCCUGUUGUUGGAGAAGAAAGUGCGUGAGAGUAACUGUUCACGUUUCGACGGUAUCUAACCAGAAAGCCACGGCUAACUACGUGCCAGCAGCCGCGGUAAUACGUAGGUGGCAAGCGUUAUCCGGAUUUAUUGGGCGUAAAGGGAACGCAGGCGGUCUUUUAAGUCUGAUGUGAAAGCCUUGGGCUUAAACGGAGUAGUGCAUUGGA
rnacentral:rRNA from 1 species